rnacentral:rRNA from 2 species
GGGUUGUGAGGUUAAGCGACUAAGCGUACACGGUGGAUGCCCUGGCAGUCAGAGGCGAUGAAGGGCGUGCUAAUCUGCGAUAAGCGCCGGUAAGGUGAUAUGAACCGUUAUAACCGGCGAUACCCGAAUGGGGAAACCCAGUGUGACUCGUCACACUAUCAUUAACUGAAUCCAUAGGUUAAUGAGGCGAACCGGGGGAACUGAAACAUCUAAGUACCCCGAGGAAAAGAAAUCAACCGAGAUUCCCCCAGUAGCGGCGAGCGAACGGGGAGGAGCCCAGAGCCUGAAUCAGCAUGUGUGUUAGUGGAAGCGUCUGGAAAGGCGCGCGAUACAGGGUGACAGCCCCGUACACAAAAGCGCAUGUGCUGUGAGCUCGAUGAGUAGGGCGGGACACGUGGUAUCCUGUCUGAAUAUGGGGGGACCAUCCUCCAAGGCUAAAUACUCCUGACUGACCGAUAGUGAACCAGUACCGUGAGGGAAAGGCGAAAAGAACCCCGGCGAGGGGAGUGAAAAAGAACCUGAAACCGUGUACGUACAAGCAGUGGGAGCCCCACCACCAAAGCAUUCUCUGGUGUUGAAGGCCCUGCAAAGCAGCAUCGCGGUGGCGGAGCGUCGUUUGCGACGCCCAACACACAAAACAAGCGGUGAGUGCUUUGGGGUGGGGUGACUGCGUACCUUUUGUAUAAUGGGUCAGCGACUUAUAUUCUGUAGCAAGGUUAACCGUAUAGGGGAGCCGUAGGGAAACCGAGUCUUAACCGGGCGUUAAGUUGCAGGGUAUAGACCCGAAACCCGGUGAUCUAGCCAUGGGCAGGUUGAAGGUUGGGUAACACUAACUGGAGGACCGAACCGACUAAUGUUGAAAAAUUAGCGGAUGACUUGUGGCUGGGGGUGAAAGGCCAAUCAAACCGGGAGAUAGCUGGUUCUCCCCGAAAGCUAUUUAGGUAGCGCCUCGUGAAUUCAUCUUCGGGGGUAGAGCACUGUUUCGGCUAGGGGGUCAUCCCGACUUACCAACCCGAUGCAAACUGCGAAUACCGGAGAAUGUUAUCACGGGAGACACACGGCGGGUGCUAACGUCCGUCGUGAAGAGGGAAACAACCCAGACCGCCAGCUAAGGUCCCAAAGUCAUGGUUAAGUGGGAAACGAUGUGGGAAGGCCCAGACAGCCAGGAUGUUGGCUUAGAAGCAGCCAUCAUUUAAAGAAAGCGUAAUAGCUCACUGGUCGAGUCGGCCUGCGCGGAAGAUGUAACGGGGCUAAACCAUGCACCGAAGCUGCGGCAGCGACACUGUGUGUUGUUGGGUAGGGGAGCGUUCUGUAAGCCUGCGAAGGUGGCCUGUGAGGGUUGCUGGAGGUAUCAGAAGUGCGAAUGCUGACAUAAGUAACGAUAAAGCGGGUGAAAAGCCCGCUCGCCGGAAGACCAAGGGUUCCUGUCCAACGUUAAUCGGGGCAGGGUGAGUCGACCCCUAAGGCGAGGCCGAAAGGCGUAGUCGAUGGGAAACAGGUUAAUAUUCCUGUACUUGGUGUUACUGCGAAGGGGGGACGGAGAAGGCUAUGUUGGCCGGGCGACGGUUGUCCCGGUUUAAGCGUGUAGGUGUGUGUUCCAGGUAAAUCCGGUUCACUUUAACACUGAGGCGUGA